rnacentral:tRNA from 1 species
GCUCUCGUAGCUCACUUGGAUAGAGCGAUUCCCUCCGAAGGAAUAGGUAGUGAGUUCGAAUCUCACCGAGGGCACCA